rnacentral:lncRNA from 1 species
GCCCUCCGGCUGAGCCCUGAUCUCUAUGGUUUCCGCGGCUCGCUAGAAGGAGUGUGGUCCACCGGAGGACUCCCUACAUUCUUCCUCCAUUACCUCACUGCCUCCGGUGGCUGCUGGGAUACCGGAGGACUCGGGUCCCGGCUCGACUCAGUCCUCCAGCCGCCCGGGGAAUACCUCUAGUUCUUCCCGGCCGCCGCCGCCGCCGCCGCCCCGCCGCUUCCUCCUCCGCCUGCCGGCCUCCUUCGCCCCGUCCCGUCCGCGCAGCGCGUCCGGCCCGCCCGCAGGCCAGCUUCUCUCGGGAGCCCCCACCCAGGCGCAUGGCUCCAUGAAGCAAGAGGAGGAGGCAGAGCGCGAGAGGUCCCGUCCGCCCCAGCCGCGUCUGGGCCAGGAUAAAAGCAAAACCAUAUUCCUGCUGCUGUCAGUUAUGAUGCACUGAGAAAACUUCAGAGACCUAAACUUUUUCCAGAGAAGAGAAGCUUUACUGGUGUUCCAGCCCUAAGAAACCUUUGUUCAAGAAAACGGCAGAUGCUCUGUUGAAUCCACUGGAGAUUGUUCUGAUACUAAGGACAAGUAUCAACCAUCUUUCCUGUGAAAAAUUCCCUCUCGUACUUUAGUUCUGUGGAUCCAAAAUUUAUAGCAUUCUUCUACCACCACAGGGGCUCAUAUGACAUUAACAGACAAGACACUUUUCAGAAAGACAGGCAACGUGUUGGACCUUCCGGAGCUUCUCAGAAGACAGAGGGUUUUCUUUUGAGAUACUAUUUCAACAAAUUAGCCCAGUUUUGAUUUGGAUGGCAAGACUCAAAGACAACAACAACAAUAAAAUCACAACUUGAUUUAAAAGUUAAAUUCAAUAAACUGUAGAAGCAGCAUAUUAGUCUGUUCUUACACUGCUAAUGAAGACAUACCUGAGACUAGGUAAUGUAUAAAGGAAA